UAUUUUUAGGAUGUUGGUGUAUGGAAAGAAAAAUAUGAAUUGCUUAAUGAUACUGUAAGCUUUUUAAUUGCAACUAGUGAAGAUUCAAUAGGUGCACAAUUGAAGCAAGAAUUUUUAAAUAUUACAUCUACGUGGGAAACUAUAUUUGCAGUAAAUAAAAAACUAUUUAACAUACAUUUUAGAAAAUUUGAUGUCACAAAACAUUGUAUUUAUUAUAUAGAGAGCUAAGGAAUACAUGCACUCUGGUGAUAUGAUUAGAAAUCGUAAAGAAUAUUUGGAAGGAUUAGACGUAUUACACAAGUGGAAUUUAAGAGCAGAACAAAUUAUGUCAUCAAUACACUUAAGUUCUUCUCAAAAAAUCAAAGAUUACUUAUGUGAAAUUCAAGUAAUAUACCAUAUAAUUAUUAGUACAUUAUUUUAUUGUUAUUAUAUGUAUUUUUUUUUAUUUUUUAGAAACUUCAAACACAAUUAGAUCAAAUGGAUGAUCUAUUUAAAGCAAUUAGUAAAAAAUGUCAAGUAUUAAUAAAAGAUUUAACAAGAGACGAAGUUAACGAAAUGAUGUUGUGUAUUAAAAAAGAAAAAGGUAAGUAAAUUGAGAUUAAACAUUAAAUUUAUCUAAUAAACAUAAACUAAAAUAGGCUCGUAUUUUAAUUUCAACUCUUAUAAAUCUAAAUACAACUAAAAAUCAAUGUACAAAUAAUUGACUUAUGUUAAAACAAAAGUACGUAAUGUAACACAAUUUUCAAUAAAUUUGACUAAGUAGGUAGGUAUUCAACAAAAUUAUUAGGUAUGUGAUAACCAAAUAUUUUAAUAUUGUUACAUUAAGUACCUACCUAUUAUAAGUUAGUAGUUACAAGUCAUUGACUGUAUAUUUAUUAAUAUUAGUUGUAUAUUUUAAAUACCUACUUAGGUUUAUAACAUAUUUUAUGAUUUAUAAGUAACACAAAUUGUUUUUAUAAUGGUGAUUCCUUCGAUUGGCUAUACUUUUAAAAACAUGUAAUAAAGAGUUGAUGAAGUAAGUGCCUAAGUAUAAUACUCCCAAAAUAAUUCUUAAAAUUUUCAAUAAAUACAAAUAUGUGAAGGUGGACAUAUUACUUUACCUAUAUUUGUACGUUCAGUAAUAAAUUAAUAAACUUGUAUUUAUAUUCAUUUGUAAACAUUUCAUAUUUCUUUUUAUUUAUUUAAUACAAACUAUAAAAUAUUACCACAUGUCGUUAUAUUAAUAAAUAAACAGUUGAACAUGUACCUACCGACUAUUGUGAAAUACAUAAUUACUAUAUUACAAUAUUAUUUUAGUAUUUACACUACCAAUAGAAUAUUACACUAUAGAUCCCUACCAUCCCUAUUUUUAAUGACUAAAUUUAAAAUGAUCAAUAAAUUAUAUUAAUAAAAAUGAUAGUAAAAAAUUUAAAAUAAAAAUAAAAAAAUAAUGUUUUCUACAAAAUUCAAAAUAGAUAGUAAUUUUAUAAAUAAUUUGAUGUAACAAAUAUUUACUAAUGAUGAGUUCAUUUUCAACAAUUUAUUAAGUUCCCGAUACUUAAAAGAUGUUUUAAUUGUCAUUACUAAAUAAUAUCAUCUGAUUUACUAAUUUGUCCAUGAAAAAUAAUUAAAAUAAAAAGACUUACUUCGCAAGAUGGAUGGGCCACUCUUUAACGUAAAAUGUAUGGCAGAAAAGUUUUUCACAGAUAAGAAAAAAAAUUAAUAAUAAUCUUUGUAAAAUCAAUACAUUCCUCACUCCGCUCAAAAUCUAAAAUUAUAGAAAAUCAAUCAUCAAUCUUUAAUAACCAUUUGUAACAGUAAAAUUCGAAUUCAAUAAUAUAGUAAAAACAAAAUUAUUAAAAUAUUGUUCUUGUAUGGAAAUGAUUGAGGUUAAGGUACUUCUUAAGGAAGGGGGGAAUCAAGUACAAUUAUCAUUCCAUGUCACUUUCUUAAUGUUAAUUAUUAAAUUUUUCUUAGUUUCCAUAUUAUUGUCGUCAAUAAAAUCGAUGAUUUCUAUAGUAGUGUACAUUUAAAAAUCGUAUAAACAUCAAAUAUGAGUCAUUUUGUAUCAACUAAUAUUAUAUCAAUCAAAAUUGUUUUAUUUGAAUUCACAUCAUUUUAUGUAAUUUUUUUGUUUAUUGGUCUUUUAUAUGUCUUUUACGUGCCCACCUCAUGAAAUUUUCAAAGGGGUAUAAUCAUUGAUUUUCUGAUUUUUUGACGAAGUAUUAGGAAAAUAAGAAAAAAUUAAAAAUUACCAAUAAGGUGACAUAUAUAUUCCAUAGACUUUGAUUUUUUCUCCCUUAAAAUGUAUCUUAACCUCAAUCAUUUUCAUAUGGGAACAAUUUGUUUCAACUUUGUAAGCCUUGAAACAUAUUGUUAGAUUUGUGCAUACUUUGUAUGUCUUACCUAUUUAAACAAAAUUCAGAAUAAACAAAAAAAAAAAAAACAAUGUAGGUACAUUAAAUGGAAAACUUUAUCUCGUUACAGGAGUACAUAUGAAUUGUUCUAGAAAUUUCAAAUAGGGCUCAAAAUUAAUUUUAAAUUUUAUAGAAAAAAGUUAGGGAACGUCAAAACAAGAAUUCUAGGAAAUCUGGUCCUCCUAGACUCCGAGUUUAGACUACGAAAAGUAGAUUUUGUGUUAUAAUUUUUAAAUUAAACAUAAAAUUUGUUGUUAAUUGAAACAUAGGUGCAUUUAUGUAAGUGAACAAAUAAUAUGUAAAUUAAUUAAAAUUAAUAAAUAUUGAGUAAAUAUUUAUUGUAUGUUAAAUAUUAUAUUGUAAGUUAAUAUAAAAAUACCCCCACCACAGAAAAAAAUUUAAAAACCGCUACUGCCUAUAAUAUGUAUUUUAAUAAUUAUAUUUUUUUUAGAAUCUCUUGUCAAUAUCAGGGCAAGCAUACCAGUUCAACUAAAUGCUCUUCAUCAUAUGCUCGUUCAAUAUGAUGCUCUUGAAUCGGGCCAAAAAGAAAUAGAUAAUUGGUUAAAUAAUUGUGAUGAAUUUUUGUCUACGUUGAAAUUAAGUAAAAAUCAAGAUGUAUUACACAGCGACAUUGAAUAUUUAAAAGUAAGUUUUACGUCAGCGGUAGAUUUUUACUUUUGUAUUUAUUAAUUUUUGUUUUAAAUGUUAAUUUUAGAACAUUAUUAUACGUAUGUCGUAUUACCAAUCUAUGUUGUCCAGCAAGAACAAGAUAUUUCAGAGCAUCAUCAAAUCAAUUCAACCACAAAAUGAUCAAGGGAGUAAUACUGAGUUUGUACAAACAAUGGCUGAUUUGAAUGCUAAAUUUUCCAGGAUAACACAUGAAUGUCAACAAUGGGAUAUGGUUUGUGAACAAUUUUUGUGUAUACUAUAGUAGGUACUGUAAAAUGGGGUCACUCUGGACAAACUAUUAAAUAUUAUUUGUCCUUACUGAUAAGGGUAUUGGAUAGAAUUUGAUAAGAUCUUCAGAUAUCACUUCAAGAAGUUCAAGAUAUUAUAAUGGAGUAAUGGACUUUUAUUGUCCAUGUAAUUUUAAUUAUUUAUUUCGAUAAAUUGUCGGUUUUAGAAUAUACCUAACUAAAUUAUACUAGUAUACAUUGACAACCAGUUGAGUAUGAGUUUUUAUAUCAUUUUUCAUUUAUUUGGUUAAAUGUUGGGGUGUAAUAAAGUAUUUUUAUUAAUAACACUUUUUGUAUUAGUGUUAUUUAAAUAAAUAUCCAUAGGUUGUUAGGAAAUUUGAAUUUUUUAAAUAAAUAUUACGAUUUCGUUAAUUUAAAAAAAAAUUUUAAUCUUGUGCAAAGUUAAUCAAAUGUAUGAAAACAUUAUUAUUUUGUUGAAUAUGAAUAAAUGUCUGACGUUACUCGAAAAAUGGGGUAACUACAGAAAAAGAUAGUUUUAGAAAGUCCAAGCACAAUGGAACACAAUUUAAUAAUGGAUAGGUACCUAAUUAUGACAUUAUUAUUUUUUUUUCUAUUGAAAUUUUAUUAAAACAGUUAUAAUAAUAAUUAACAAUUAGUUAAGAAUAAUGGUUAAAAUUAUAAAAAAAAAAUAAAUACAAUAUUUUAAAUUAUAAAACUAGUCUAAUUGAUGAAUGAAAUAAUUGAUAAGACGAUAGGAGAUAAAAUAUGUUGUUAUUAUUGACUUUUUUUUAGAAUUUUAGUUCCAUUUAUUCAUAGGUAGUUUUUUUCAGAAAUACAAUAAAAACUAUUUAGAAUUAGACCAUUGUAUGGUACUUUAUACAAAGUGUGAAAUAAACUGUUUAAUAGAUACUACAUUAGAAAAAAAAAAAAAACAUUUAUAUUUUGUUUAGAAAUUACAACAAACUUUGCGAUGUUGGCAUAAUUAUAUUGAAAUAGAAAAAGUUAUACUAGAUUGGAUUGAAACUAGUAAACAAGUAUUUUUCGAGGAACAUACUAGUUCAAGACAAGCUUUAGAGUCUCAAAAAGUAUACAUUUAUUUUAAUGGCUAUUAAAUUAAUUUUAAAAUAAUAUCUAAUGCAACAAUAUUUUUAGGGAUAUUUUGAGUAUUCUAGCAAUAAUAAAUGGGAAACUGAGUUGGAUAAUGUUGAAGGUGAACUACUUAAGUGUAUUGAACCUAGUGAACAAGAAAUUAUAAGAAAUAGAUCAAGAGCAAUCCGUUUAAAAUAUCAAGUAAUAAUUGAAUGUUAGAUUACAAAAUUGAUUAUAACAAAUAUUUUAUUUAUAUUAUUUACAGGAGUGUUUGAGUAUGGUUCCUACAUAUAUAACAAGGGUUGAAUUUAAAUUAAAUGAAAUUACAUUUAAUCAAUGUAUGAAUGAAGCAGAAAAAGAACUUAAUGUUGAGCAACAAAUGUUUAGUAAAAAUGACAAUGUUAAUUUGAUACUCAAGCGGAAUAUAGUAAACGUUUUUAUUUUAUCAUUAUAUUUUGGUAUUCUAUAAAACUUUAUGUUAUAGGAAUAUUUUGAUAAUGGUGUGAUAUUGAAAGAACUUAGAUCGUGUUUAAACAAUAUGAAUAUUGCUAAUAAAAAAACAUCAAAUGUAUUAGUUGAUUCAGUUUUAAAUAAAUCAAUUAAUCGAUUUGAAAGCAUAGAAAAAAGAAUCACAGAAAUGAGACAAAAAUGUAAACAAAUACCUAAUCAAUUUCAAGAUUAUAAAUCUAAGUUUAAUGAUUUAGAAAAUUGGAUGAAUGCAGUUGAUGUAAGCGUUGAAAGACUAUUAAAAGGGCUUUUAAAUGAUGAAGAAUUUGAAAAAGAAAAAUCUACAUUUCAAGUAAAUAUUUUAUUUAAUAAAUAUAAUAUUGCUUUUUGAAUUAAUUUUGUGAUAAUUUAUCGUCACAAGGAAAUUUGCCGAGAUGUCGAUAGUAAACGUGAUGACAUGAAGUGGAUGGUUCAGGUAUUAGACAGUUUACUACCAUAUGUAUCUGAAGAACAACAACAUAUAGAUCAAAAAAAAUUGGAAGAUCUAAUAGGCCGAUAUAAACAUUUAAUUCCAACUAUAGAUAUGACAAUAACAAAAACUGAAAUGUACACUAAAUGCGUUACCUACAAAAAAGAAGUAACAGAGGUUAGAUAGUAUGAUUAUGUAUUUACGUAUUUUUUUUUUUAACUAUAUCUUUUAACCAUAUAACUACAAUUUUUUAUAUUUGCUACUUUUUAUUAGAUUGGCAAAAUUCUAGAAAAGACAAAAGAAGAGCAAUCAUUAAAGAAAGGAGAUUCGUGGGAUGAUUUAACUGAACUUAUUAUUAAUCAAGAAAAAGUAAUUGAAGGACUUGAAAAACAACGAAUGAUUGUAAUGUCAACAUUACAACGAGGCAAGCAAUUAGCUAAAGAUUCCUCUGCUGUACCAAUCUUUAUUCCACAACUUGUUUCAAAGUUGGAAACAGAUUGGAGUUUUGUAUAUAAUGAGUCUAUUGACAAGUUCAAUAAAUUGAAAAAUGCCCAAAAAUUAUUGCUGGAAUAUACAAAAACCAAAAAUGAAUUAAUGGCAAUAAUUAGAAAAGCUGAAGAUGAAUUAAAAACAGUAUCUGAUGAUAAUAAACAUAAUUCUCAAGAAAUUUCAAUGCAAUUAAGAAGUAAACAAGAGUUAAGUAUUGCGUUGCGUGAAGCAGCUGAAAAUAUGUUGAACAAAUUAAGAGAUAUAUCACACAAUUUGCAUAUUCCUGAAAAAGAAUUUUCUAUUGAAAACGAAGUAAGAAUAUAGUACUAUGAACUUAAUAUUAAUAUACCAUUAAUUAAUCUAAACUUAUAUAGUAUCUAAUUUUAAUUUUAUACAUAUUUGUUUAUGUUUAUUUAGAUUAAUAUUAUAGAAAAUAAAUUAGUAAAUACAAUUCAAACGGUAGAAAAAGAAACACAGAGAUUAGAGAAGCUUUCAAUGAAGUUAUCUGAAUUAGAUUCAGGAUUAAGUAAAAUUCAUGUUUGGUCUGUUGAAUCUGCUCCUGCUGUCAUAGAAAGAAUUCAACAAGAUCAAACAAAUCCUGAAAUUAAAGCUCGAGGAAUUGAAGAAGUCCAGGAUGAACUACAAAAAAGACGUAAUAGUUUGGAACGUUUAACACAAGAUUUGCAAAGUUUUGAAAAAGGUAAAUAUUUUUAAUAUCUUAGUACUACAAAAAUGAAUAUUUUAGAUUUGGAGCAUAGCAAGUGAUUUAUUGGUUUUACUAUGACAUGUUUUUUUUCUGUCUGUAAACAACUUUUCGAAAAGAAAUCUUGUUCUGAUGUACAGAGUGUAACAUUUUCUGAAAGAAAAUUUUAUUUUGUUGAAAUAUGAGGACAUUUUUUGAUUUUUCAAGGAAUUUCCAUAAUUAUAAUAAGAAAAUUAUAGGUAACACGAAAAAUAUUUACAGUGCGCUGUAGAAUUACUGAUUUCAUUGAUUUUAAUUUUUACACUUUAUGUUUUUUACCAAAAAUAUUGCCUCAAUAUAACAAUAAGAAGAGACCUUUUUGGUUUCAUUUUUAAUCUAGUUUGUGAGAAUAUUGAUUUUUAAUUUCCCAGUAGUUUUUUAAAACAUUAAGGAAAACCUAAUUAACACAGAUAUAACAGGAAAAUUUACAAAAAUAACAAUUUUUUUUUGUUUUUUUGUUUUAAUCCAGUUAAAAUUCUUCAUAGAUACUUGCAAUUCUUACUGAAAACUUAUAUUUCUUUUUCUAGAGGUGGUAUAAUUUUAAAAACAUUUGAACUAUUUUUGAACCUAAUUUUUAUCUUGUAAGUUCUCUGUGAAUAAAAUUGUUAGACUAAAUAGAAAUGUUUGAAAAUUUAACAGGAGGUUAAUAAUAAGUUGUAUUUAGUGGUCAAAAAAUAAUUUUUGUGUAAUGUAAUUUUUUGUUAUAUGAAUUUUAAAAUCAAAUUUUGUUGAAAAUCUUAAUUAAUUAUUCAAAACAUGUAACAAUCAAAUUUUGUUUCCAAUGAUUUAUCGUUGGUUACAGGGGUAUAAAUUAAAUAACUCUAAGUAUUCCACCUUCUCAACUACCCACCUACAACAGUGGCCACACCAGUCUCCAGUAUUAACCCUUUUUUUUUUAUAAUUAUAUAUGUAUAAUGUAUAUAUUUAAAAAUAUUAAAAAUUAUAAACUAUCCAGUUGUCAUUUAUAUUAUGUAUGUGAACAUAAUUACUUUUAAGUUAAUAGAGUAGGUAAUUUUUAGAUACACAGUAAGUUAUGUAUGAGAAAAAGUAGUGGAUGUCAUUUUAAUAUAAAAAUUGGUGCCUUAUAAUAAUAAGGCAAAAAAAAUUUAAAUAAAUAUAUUUCUAAAUGAACUUAGUCCUGUAUUUUGGAUAUUUUUUUGAAAAAAAUAAUGUACCUAACUUCUAGUAUGUAGCAAUGUUUAUAAUGUAUUAUUUUUUUUUUUUAGAAAGUGAUACUAAUGAAACACAAAAACUACGACAAGAUUUGGAUGAAGUAAGAAUGUCUAUUUUAAAUUUGGAAUGCAAUACUAAUCGAAAGAAUGAAGAAAUUACAAUUGAUCUUAACGAAUGGCAUGUUCAUAAAGCAAAAUUAGAAGAAAUUAGACCCUGGUUAGAAAAUGUUGAAAGAAAAAUCAAUGCUGAUCAUGUUAAACCUAUAACAUUGGGAUUAGCAAAUGACUGGUUAAAAACAUUGCAAGUAAGUUGUGUUUAAUAAAAUUAAAAUAACAUUUAAAAUUGGGGUUUAUUAUAUUUUAUAUAUGUUCAAAUUAGUUGAUUAAUUCAGAGUGUCAAGAAAAAAUUGAAAAUCUUAAAACAAUAUCUUCUGACAAUAAAACUGCAGUUAUUCUUAAUGAAGUAGAUGCAAUUCAAUCUCGCUGCAUAUCUGUACAAUCAUGUGCAGUACAACAAGCAACGCGUUUACAAAGACUGAUAUUGAACUGGAAAGAGUUAAAUGAAAAAACACAAAAAGUAGAAGAAAAACUAAAUCACCCAUUAUUAUCCGAAUUGAAGGAAUUAAUAAUAAAUCAAUCACUUUCAGAAGAUGAGCUUGAGAAAAAACUAUUGGAAUAUAAAGUAAACUAUUUUACUUUUAUUUUUAUUAAAAUGUUUAUUUUUAACUGCUUUAACAUUAUUAUAUACAGAAAUUAUGUUUUAAUUAUUAUUAUUUCUUAUCAAAUUAUCAUUUAUUUUCUUUUUCAGGUCUAAUUAGUAUUCUCAUAAUUUUUUGUUUUAGGUAUCAUACCAAGAACUUAAUGAAUGUCAGAGUGAAAUUUCAAGUCUUUCACAAAGUUUAAAUGGAAUAAAUCAACAUUUUUCAGUUGAAACUAUAAGUGAUAUUAAGGAAAAAUUAAUUAAUUUGAAGGCAAAAAAUAAUGAAUAUUUGAAGCAAAUGCACAAUCAAAUGCAAACUAUUUCUAAUAUUAUUUCAGAAAAGUAAAUUAAUUAUAUUGAAAUUAACACUAAUAUUAUGUUUUAAUAUAUAAGAUUUCUUAAAUAAUAUUAUUUAAUCAUGUUUAUUGCAACAUAAUAAUAUACAAAACAUGUAUUAGCUAGAAUAGAUUGGUAUUGAACUUUUAAUGUGUAUUUUAGAAAAGAGCAUGAAAUCAAAAUAAAUACAUUUUGUGAAUGGUUAAAUGAAUUUGAUUCAAAGGUAAAUAAAUGCAAUAUUGUUAGUAGUAGUUCUAUUGAAGAAAUACUAAAAAAACUGCAUUCAUUUACUGAUGAACACAUGGAAAAACAACCACUAUUUACUGAAAUCAAAGAAGAUUUCAAACACUUCUUUGAUAAUUCUGCAAUACAGAAAUCAAUAAUGCAAUUCCAAGUGAGGAUUUUGAUUAUAUUUAAUAUUUUUAUAAAUAUUUAUUUAGAGGGAGGGUGGAGGCGAUUUUUAAAAUUCAUAUUACAAGAUAUGCAUUUAUAAUGAGUCAUACUAAGAAUAUAGGGUUAACCAUCUUCAUCACCCUUCUCCUCUUGAUCUCUUACUGUAUGAAUUAUGUGUAUAACUACUUAUUUAUUUUCAGGAACUUCAAGAUGUAUUGCAAAAAAAGAAAAUAGUACUUGAAAAAACUAAUGAAUUUUUUAUAUGGACUGAAACAUUGCUUGGAAAAUUAAGUCAUAUUGAAUUUCAGUUUGAUACUAAUCAAGUUAAAAUAAAUUUAACAAAUGAAAUCAAUAAAUGUUCAGAGGAAGUUGAACUAUGGAAACAAAACAUAAACUCAAUUGAACAUUUAUUACAGGAAAGUAAAACUGUUAUUCCUGGAUUGUCAAUUGCAGAACAAUUUAAACAAUUAGAAUUAAAAUUGAAACAAAUUCAGUAAGUGAAUUAUAUAAAAUUUAAAAAUUUUGUAUAUAAUUUGCAUAUAGAUACAGACAUACAUAUAUAUAUACAUAUAUUAUAUUACGGUGGUCCUCAUUUAUUUAUUUUUUUAAUGGCCAGCCCAAUAUUUGUUCAAAACUAUAAAAAAAAAAAAUGAAUUAUGUAAAGUUUUGUAAUAACUGGCCAACCAGGUGUGCCUCAAAGGGAUAUAAGUUCUGAAAAAUUUAUUUGAUUUGGUUUUUUGCAAAUACAGUCAAAAACAUUUAUAAUUAAAGAAAAAUAAAUUUACUAUAGUAGUUAUUGUGGUGCUGGUUUCAUCAAAUGUCAUCACCUACAAAAUAAAAAAACUAUCUAAAUAACUAAAAUCAACUAUUACAUACUAAAAUCAUUUUUUUCAGUUUUUAUGUGAAUGGGUUGAGUAGGUAAUAAAAACACAUAAUCAUUAAUCAUAAUCAUUACAAAAUUUGAUACAAUUUAUUUUUCAUAGUAAUGAACACAUUAUUCCUGGGGUAGCUUGAUUGAAUUAACAAAAAAAAAAUAAAAGUAUACAAAUUAGGACAACCCUAAUAUAUACACAUAGAAAUAUUGAAUAAUUCAUAAGACUUAUCUAUAUAUAUAAAAUAAUAAAUUAACUGACUGAUCUAAAAAGGCAGAUCUAAAACUAAAAUUUGGCAUGAAGAUAACUAUUAUGUUGUAGACAUCUGCUAAGAAAGAAUUUUUGAAAAUUCAAUCACUGAGGAAGUAAAAUAAGGAUUUUUAGGUACCCAUCUUUCAUAUGAAUAAAUAAUUGUUUAUUUAUGUAUUUUUGUUUGUCUAUGGAUUACCUUGGUGAUACAGAUGAAAUAACAAAAAAAUUAGCCCAAGAACACUAGGUGGAACUGAAAUGUUCUUAGUAUUUUUGGAACAUUAAUCUGUAACUUAUUAAAAUAAUAAUAAUAAUAAUAAUUUAUUCAAUUCAAAUAAUGAUUAAAUACAAUUUAAAAUUAAAAUUGUAUAUAAUAUGAGCUGAUUACCUUUCUCUUAAAGGAAGUUGUGGCAAAAGGAAAGGGGGUUAUUCAAUCCUAUUAAAUCAUAUUGUUAUUAAUUAUAGAUAAAAAAAAAGAGAAAAUUCAGAAAUUUAAUAGCCUAUCAACUUAUUAGAUUUUUUUUCAAAAUGUGUGUUUUUGUGUGUACAUUAGGAAUGUAAAAAAAAGGUCCAUUGAACUUCGUUUGGAAGUUAUCUAUAGGAGAAAACUUCACAAAGUUAGUGGUUUUCCGUUUUACGUAUUUCUUAAUCAGAAUUUAACAUUUUCAAAUAUGUUUUUAAUGCUCAAUCCAUUGGUAUAAUCAAAAUGUACCUAUCACAGUUACUUUUGAAGUUAUUGUAUAUAAACUUUGAAAAAUAGCAUUUUCAAAAUUAAUCGUGGUUUUGCACAACAAAUUGAGGGUUAUUUUCAAUUAAAAAAGAAAAAUGAGAUAGAGUGACCCCGCCAGAUCUCUAAGUGCACCCAAAAUGCUAUUUUUCAAGGUUUAUGUACAAUAACUUCAAAAGUAAUUGUGAUAGAUAAGUUUUGAUUAUACCAAUGGAUUUAAGCAUUAAAAACAUAUAUUUGAAAAAAAAAAUUUGAAAAUGUUAAAUUCUAACUAAAAAAUACGCAAAACGGAAAACCCGAACUUCAUGAAGUUUUCCCCUAUAACUUCCAAACCAAAUUCCGACCUUUUUUAUAUUCUUAGUGUACACUCAAAAACAAACAUUUUGAAAAAAAAAUCUAAAAAAUCGAUAUUAGGUUGCUAAACUAGAAUCGUUCCUUAACUAAACAGUAGUGUUUAACUUUGAAACUCUGAGGCGACCUCCCCUUCUUCCUUUAGAAAUAAUACUUGUUUUAUAAAUAAUUGAUAAUAAUACUAAAAAUAAUAAUAUAUUGUCUUGACUAAAUUGUAUAUCAGAAUGUACUUAUUAAUUGGAUUGCAGAGAAAUACUCGAAAAAUUGAAUACGCGGAAAAUGUCAAAUAGCUCUAAGGUAUUCAUUUCGCUGUAUAGUUUUAACACAACUUGUAGGUGAUUUUUGGGACUGUUCUAUUAUCUGAUGUUUUACUCUAUAGAUUUUUGUGAUUUUUAAACGCGAGUGUUCGGUUUGUAGAUGAGAAGUCUAAUGAGAUAAGUUUAAAAAAUUAAUUAGUUAAAAACCUACCUAGUUAUAUUAGUUAUUAAUACGAUGACAAAACUGUACCUACCUACUUUACACAUUUGCUAACCGUCAUAAAAGUCAUCAAAAAAAUCAUCGUUAUCAUUUUUAUCUGGGAAAUGAUAAAACCCACUUCAUCAUCGGCUAUUGUUUAUUGAUUUACUUAUUGGUUUCCCUGCUGAUAUGGAGCAUAAUUUGGUUGUCAUCUAUUACUCUAUGUUGUUACCACGAUGUAUAGAAGAUAAAAGAGUACCUAAUAUCUAUUAUCUUCUCUUGUCACGACUCAUGAGUCACAGGUAACUUUCAAAAAAACUUAUUAUUAUUACUAUUAUUUAAAAAUAGCAAAGCAUUAAUUAUUAAAGAGUUAGCAUAUAAUACUAUAAUCUAUAUAAUAUAUUACCUAUAUAAAAAUGAAUCGAUAUUUGUUGGUGAUACCUUAAUUUGAAAACGGAGAGACCGAUUUGGCUGAAUUUUUUUGUUCUGUUCGUAAUAAUUUGUCAGGACAAUAUUUUUAUGAAAGAUAGUUUUUGGAAAAUCUGCCGGAAAAGUCGUAAAUUUAAAUUUAUAUCACCAAGGUAACCCGUAAAUCAAUUAAAACAAUUUGAUAAUUGACGUUCAACUCUGAUGUCACAUGUUUCCAUAACAGCAUAUUGAUGAUAAAUAAAAUUGAAGGUUUGUAUGAAAUAUUGGUUGCAUUUCAAUUUGAACUUUACUCUGUUAGGGCAGAAGGUUUUUUUAACUUACUAAAGUUCCUACAGCCCUUCAAAUGAAGUCGGGGGAUAAUAUUUUUUUUGUAUUCAUGGUGUAAGUUUUAAGGAUGUGCCUUUUGUUUUUAAAUUUUUAACCUCCUCAGCCAUUUUUAUGCCUAGAUGUCAUGUUUUCACAGGAAAUAGUCUUAUAAAUUAUUCUUAUUUUUAUCUAUUAGGUAUUAGGUAUUAAAUGUAUUUUUUUUAAAUAUUUUAGAGAAAAAUUCAAAGCAAAAGAAGAAAAUGAACAAAAGGUAAAGAAUUGCCAAAUAACUGUUAGUGCUAUAAAUAAUGGUAUAAUUAAACAAAUUAAAACACUAGAGAAUACAAUAAAUGAUCAAAUAUCAACUGUUAAGUCAUGGAAUGACAUUAAUAUUGUAAUACCAAAAUUAAAAGAAUUAACAGAUACAAGUGAAUUAAUGGAACAAGUAAAGGCUCUUGAAAAAGAAGGAGAAUUGUUAAUCCAGUUAGAUAAGAGCAAUUCUAUAUUUGUACAAAAUAUUUUAUUGGAAAUAAAUACAGAAUUGUCUAAUUUGAAUACUACAUAUGAACGAUCAAUUGCAAAUUUAACAGAAAUAAAUGAUAACUGGUUAAAAAUAAUUGAUGUUAAAAAUAAAAUAAAUUCAACUAAAGAAGAAUCUAAAAUUAUUUUGGGAUUAAUUGAAUCACCUAAUGAUUUAACAGAAGCCCAAGUAAUUGAAGAAAAAUAUAAUAAAGUAUUAAAACAAAAUACUUUAAUAUUGGGUUCAUUGCCAGUAAUGGAAGAAGCUGUAAAGAAAUUGGUGAUAUUAGCUAAAGAUUAUCCACAAUUAAAUAUAAAAAAAUUAGAUCAAAACUUUCAAAAUGAUUUAGAGAGUUGGGAAAAAUAUCAUGCUAAAAUUAAAGAAAAUGCUGAAAUUGCACAUUCUCAGCAAGUUAUUUGGAAACAAGUAAAUCAGACUAAAGAUAAUAUUUUGCAGUGGUUAUCAGAUGUAAAUAUUGAACUUUUAGAUUGUACCUCCAAUUUUGAUGACAUUGAAAACAUUAAAAAUAAACUUGUUAAAUAUUCAGAAGAAAAACAAUUCAAUUUAGAAUUAAAAGAUAAUAUUGUUGAAAAAAUUAAAAAGCUAAAAAGCUUAAAUGGAAAUAAACCGAUCAUAACAUUAGAUUCAUUAUGUGAAUUAUUGGAUGACCAAUUUACUGGUGUUGAAUGUAUUGCUAAUAAUUUAACCGGACUUCUUAAUGAUUUUUCACAACAAGAAGAAAAAAUAAGAACUGAAAUAAAAAAGCGUAGUAUUGAAAUUAAUCAAAUACGAGAAAAUGUAAUUAAGUGUGACAACUUAAAUAAUGAAUUAGAUGCAUUAUUGGUUAAUUUAAAAUCUUGUCAAAAAUGCAAAAAUGAACUAAUCAAAAUGAAUCUAAAUAUAGAUUCCGUUAAUCACUCAGUAUUAGAAAUGACUGAUACAUUUCCUAUAAUUUCAGAAUCAACUUUAAUUAAGGAACUAAAAAGUCUUAAAAAAAGAUAUGAAAGUGUUGUACAACAAGUUGACAAAGUAGAAACAACUUUAAUGACAUAUUUAAAAAAACAUUUAGAAGAUGAUAUAAAUAAUCUUCUACAUUCAAUUAAAAGUGCUGAUGAAAAAUUAACAUGGUGUAAACCAGAAGAUGAAAUUGAAAAAGAACAGAUUGAAAUCAAACUUCGGUCUGUUGAAGACAUUAAAGGAAAUUUAAAAGCAGUUAAGGAACAUAAAUCUAGAAUAGAUUAUGUUUUAGAAUAUUUAAAUCAAUAUUCUUCAACAGAUUUAAAUUUAGAAGAAGUUAGUAGUAACAACGAAUUAUUAAGUACGAAACUUGAAAAUACUGAAAAACAAAUAAACAAGAUAAGAAUAGUACUUGAAAAAAUUAUUAGCUUAUGGGUUAAAUAUCAAAAAUAUCUAGACAAUAUUAUCUCAUUAAUAAAUAAUGUAGAAAACGAUAUAAAAAAAUCCGUAGAAAUUCCUAUUAAUAUGAGUUCUAUUGAUAUUAUGGAAGAAAAUAUUAAUGCAAUUCAAACAAAAGUCAAUGAUUGUGAACAAUUAUUGAAUGAACUAGUAUCUUGUGUUGAAAAUAUAAAAUGUGUUCAUAGUAAAUCAACAUUAGAUAAGCAGGUAUUAAAAAUUAAGCGUAAAUUAGAAUCCUAUCAAAAUAGUGUUGAUAAAUGUUUAGAAACAAUUAGACGUUUAAAAUUAAUGAAAACAGAAUUCAACCUUUCCUAUGAAAAAGCUAUUAACAACAUCAAAGUAUUAAACAAUCAACUAAAAUCUAUUGAAACUGCUCAACCUGUAGGCAAAAAAUCUAUUGAAAAUGCUCAAUCAGAUUUAAUAACUAUGAAAGAUCUUAAUAAACAACUUGAAGAAAGUCAACAAUUAAUUAAUGACACAGUAUCAAAAGGUGAAUGUAUGUAUCCUGAUAUAACUAUGGAAAAUCGAGAUGAAAUACGAUCAAAAUUGAAACAAUUAAGAUCAGCUUGUGAAAAUGUAAAUGACGAGUGUGGUAAUAUAACAAAAAUAAUUGAAAAUAUUUUAGUACAAAAAUCAUCAUUUGAAGAAAGUCAUAAUCAAAUUCAAAAUUGGCUCCGUGAAACAGAAGACAAAUUGAUUGAUUGUAAAAAAAUAAAAAAGAAAAAUAUUAUGGAUAAAAGAAUAAAUUGUAAUAAUUUAAAGUCAUUAAAACAAGAUUUGAUUGCUUAUGAAGAUGUUAUUCAUCAAUUCAAAGAGAAAGUAACUCAAUUAAAUGAACCAGAUACUGAUUUAAAACUAAAAGAUACUCAGAAAAAAUAUGAAACUAUUUUAUUAGAAGUAAAUAAAUAUUUAAAUUUAAAUGAAUCUCAUUUAAAAAACCAUGAAUUAUAUAUAGAAAAUAUUGAAAUUUUUAAAAAUUACUACAAAUUAUUACAAGAUGAAUACUCAGUUGCAAUAAAUAAUAAUUCUGAAACGGACCUGGAUGUGUUCAAAAAUAUAAUUAGUCAUAAAUCUGAAGGUGAAUUAAUAUUAGAAAAAUGUAGAAACUUUGGAAAUAAAGUGAUGAAGGAAACUGAUAAAAAUGGUAAGACUAAUAUACAAAAUGAACUUGAAGAACUUAAAACCAAUUGGGAAAGUUUGGUUUUAAACUGUGAGAAUACUUUAAAAAUGUUAAAUCAAAAACAAAACCAAUAUGACAAAGUAUUAACUAAAAUUGAUACUCUGGAUAAACAUCUAAAAUCAAUUGAAACGCAAAUUAAGGACAGAAGCUUAAAAAAUUCAUUAGCAAGCAAACAACAAUAUUUAGAAAAAUUAAAACUAUUUGAUGAGGAUAUCAACAAAAUUUACAAUGCAAUUUUAGAAAUACAAUCUGAUACUCUUGAAGUUUCACCAGAUGUUAAUAGUGCUAUAUCUAAUCUUAUGAAAACUUAUCAAAAUAUUAAAACUAAAAC